AUGAGCAUGCAUAGAAGCAGGCCGAAGACCACACGUAGGCCAGCCGAAGAGAAGCGCUUGAAGAAGAACACACCACCCACAGCCACACAUAGCAACAGAAGUCGUUGUUUGGGUCUCCAAGACAACGCCUCCAAGAAGGUAGUGUUGUCGAGCACACAACACCGUCAUCCGAUCCAACAAGCCCGAUCUUGGGUUUUUACCCGGAGAGCACAAACAAAGAACUGUAGGUGCUGUAGCUCCACGACGGCACCUCCUACGAGGAAAACGAUGUCCGUAGACGUCGCUGUCGCCGGCAUCAGCAGAGCCGAUGCAGGGUUCUCACCCGGAGUUUGA
rnacentral:rRNA from 1 species